rnacentral:rRNA from 2 species
AGAGUUUGAUCAUGGCUCAGAUUGAACGCUGGCGGCAGGCCUAACACAUGCAAGUCGAGCGGUAGCACAGAGAGCUUGCUCUCGGGUGACGAGCGGCGGACGGGUGAGUAAUGUCUGGGAAACUGCCUGAUGGAGGGGGAUAACUACUGGAAACGGUAGCUAAUACCGCAUAACGUCGCAAGACCAAAGUGGGGGACCUUCGGGCCUCAUGCCAUCAGAUGUGCCCAGAUGGGAUUAGCUAGUAGGUGGGGUAAUGGCUCACCUAGGCGACGAUCCCUAGCUGGUCUGAGAGGAUGACCAGCCACACUGGAACUGAGACACGGUCCAGACUCCUACGGGAGGCAGCAGUGGGGAAUAUUGCACAAUGGGCGCAAGCCUGAUGCAGCCAUGCCGCGUGUGUGAAGAAGGCCUUCGGGUUGUAAAGCACUUUCAGCGGGGAGGAAGGCGNNCGAUUGACGUUACCCGCAGAAGAAGCACCGGCUAACUCCGUGCCAGCAGCCGCGGUAAUACGGAGGGUGCAAGCGUUAAUCGGAAUUACUGGGCGUAAAGCGCACGCAGGCGGUCUGUCAAGUCGGAUGUGAAAUCCCCGGGCUCAACCUGGGAACUGCAUUCGAAACUGGCAGGCUAGAGUCUUGUAGAGGGGGGUAGAAUUCCAGGUGUAGCGGUGAAAUGCGUAGAGAUCUGGAGGAAUACCGGUGGCGAAGGCGGCCCCCUGGACAAAGACUGACGCUCAGGUGCGAAAGCGUGGGGAGCAAACAGGAUUAGAUACCCUGGUAGUCCACGCCGUAAACGAUGUCGAUUUGGAGGUUGUGCCCUUGAGGCGUGGCUUCCGGAGCUAACGCGUUAAAUCGACCGCCUGGGGAGUACGGCCGCAAGGUUAAAACUCAAAUGAAUUGACGGGGGCCCGCACAAGCGGUGGAGCAUGUGGUUUAAUUCGAUGCAACGCGAAGAACCUUACCUGGUCUUGACAUCCACAGAACUUUCCAGAGAUGGAUUGGUGCCUUCGGGAACUGUGAGACAGGUGCUGCAUGGCUGUCGUCAGCUCGUGUUGUGAAAUGUUGGGUUAAGUCCCGCAACGAGCGCAACCCUUAUCCUUUGUUGCCAGCGGUUAGGCCGGGAACUCAAAGGAGACUGCCAGUGAUAAACUGGAGGAAGGUGGGGAUGACGUCAAGUCAUCAUGGCCCUUACGACCAGGGCUACACACGUGCUACAAUGGCAUAUACAAAGAGAAGCGACCUCGCGAGAGCAAGCGGACCUCAUAAAGUAUGUCGUAGUCCGGAUUGGAGUCUGCAACUCGACUCCAUGAAGUCGGAAUCGCUAGUAAUCGUAGAUCAGAAUGCUACGGUGAAUACGUUCCCGGGCCUUGUACACACCGCCCGUCACACCAUGGGAGUGGGUUGCAAAAGAAGUAGGUAGCUUAACCUUCGGGAGGGCGCUUACCACUUUGUGAUUCAUGACUGGGGUGAAGUCGUAACAAGGUAACCGUAGGGGAACCUGCGGUUG